GAGCUCAGCCGGUAGAGGAGGAGACUCUUAAUCUCAGGGUUCUGGGUUCAAGCCCCACAUGGGCA